GGGUUCCUCGGCAAUGUUCAUCAGCCGAGGGUUAGCCGGUCCUAAGGUCAUUCUUAACCGAAAUGAUCGAAUAGGGAAAUGCGUUAAUAUUCGUAUGCCAAUGUGCAUUUAUGGUGACGGCUUGGGCUAGUCUCACAGGUCAUAUGUCAGGCCUGAAGAUCGUAUAAGGAAUUGGAGAACCGUCAUGGUGAGAAAAUUCCGAAGUCGAUUGACAAUAUGAGAUGACGCCUAGGUCCCGUGAAAAGCCGCACAUUUGACCGUACCUAGAACUGACACAGGUGCCCCUGGGUGAGUAGCCUAAGGUGUGACGGGAAAAGUACCGCAAGGGAACUCGGCAAAAUAGCUCCGUAACUUCGGGAGAAGGAGUGCCAGCUUAGAGAUAAGCUGGUCGCAGUGACCAGGGGUCCCCGACUGUUUAAUAAAAACAUAGGCGAUUGCCAGUCCGAAAGGAUGAGUAUAGUCGCUGAAUCCUGCUCAGUGCUGGUAUCUGAAACUAGGGUUCAACCUAGCGAAGGACCAGUAAACAGCGGGGGUAACUAUGACCCUCUUAAGGUAGCGUAAUACCUUGUCGCUUAAUUGGCGACUUGCAUGAAUGGUCCAACGAGGGACCCACUGUCCCUGCGGUACGUCCGGCGAAAUUGACUUUACUGGCGCACAGUCCAGUACCUUCAACCUGCAAGCGAAGACCCCGUAGAGCUUUACUGCAGCCUGCCGUUGUGUAGUAGCACUUUUUGUGCUGCGUAGACGGGAGAUGUCGAUCCUCCAGACGUCAGUUUGGAGAGGAGUCGAACAGAGAGACACCGUCCUUGAAGUGCAACUACACUUACUCUUAACGAGGACACCGGUAGGUGGGCAGUUUGGGUGGGGCGCCACGCGCUCGAAAACCUAACAAGCGUGCCCAAAGGUCAGCUUAGGUGGUUCAGUCUCCACCGUAAACCGUAAGGGGAAAAGCUGGCUUGACGUGGAUCGGCACAAUAACGAUCGACGAUGAGAAAUCAGGGCCUAACGAACCUACUAGCCUCAUUUAUGGGGGCAGUUGAUAACAGAAAAGUUACCUCGGGGAUAAUUGAGUUGUCACCAGCAAGAGCUCACAUCGACCUGGUGGCUUGCUACUUCGAUGUCGUCUCUUCCUAUCCUGGGUCUGCAGCAGGACCCAAGGGUGGGGUUGUUCGCCCAUUAAAAGGGAUCGUGAGAUGGGUUUAGACCGUCGUGAGACAGGUUUGUUGCUUUGUGGUUGAAGCGUUGAUGCCUGAUGGAAAGGGCCCCUUAGUACGAGAGGAACGGGGGCUCGGGGCCACUAGUCUACCAGUUGUCUGACAAGGCAAUGCUGGGUAGCCACGCCCUAUGUGGAUAAGAGCUGAAAGCAUCUAAGCUCGAAGCCACCCCAAAGACGAGGCAUAUGAGACAGGCGGUAAAAGACCGCACAAUAGGAGUCGGGUGUAAGCAUGGAGGUUCGCCGACAUGCUCAGCCCAGGCUUACUAACGUCCUGCAUCUAUUUU
rnacentral:rRNA from 1 species